rnacentral:rRNA from 1 species
UAUAAAGUCUAACCUGCCCACUGAUAAUUAUUAAAGGGCCGCGGUAUUUUGACUGUGCAAAGGUAGCAUAAUCAUUUGUCUCUUAAUUGGAGGCUGGAAUGAAUGGUUGAAUGAAAUAUUAACUGUCUCAUUUUUAAAAUUUUAAAAACUUAGCUUUUAAGUCAAAAGGCUUAAAUGAAUUUAGAGGACGAGAAGACCCUAUAGAUCUUUAUAAUUUAUUUAAUUUUAUAAAAUAGAAAAAUAAUUAAUAAAAUUAAUAGGAUUAUUUUAUUGGGGUGAUAGGAAAAUUUAAUAAACUUUUUUUAUUAAUUAACAUUGAUUUAUGAUUAAUUGAUCCAUUUUUAGUGAUUAUAAGAUUAAGUUACCUUAGGGAUAACAGCGUAAUUUUUUUAGAGAGUUCUUAUCGAUAAAAAAGAUUGCGACCUCGAUGUUGAAUUAAAGGUUAUUUCUAGAUGUAGCAGUUUAGAGUUUAGG